GGAGCGUUCUGUAAGCCUGCGAAGGUGUGCUGUGAGGCAUGCUGGAGGUAUCAGAAGUGCGAAUGCUGACAUAAGUAACGAUAAAGCGGGUGAAAAGCCCGCUCGCCGGAAGACCAAGGGUUCCUGUCCAACGUUAAUCGGGGCAGGGUGAGUCGACCCCUAAGGCGAGGCCGAAAGGCGUAGUCGAUGGGAAACAGGUUAAUAUUCCUGUACUUGGUGUUACUGCGAAGGGGGGACGGAGAAGGCUAUGUUGGCCGGGCGACGGUUGUCCCGGUUUAAGCGUGUAGGCUGGUUUUCCAGGCAAAUCCGGAAAAUCAAGGCUGAGGCGUGAUGACGAGGCACUACGGUGCUGAAGCAACAAAUGCCCUGCUUCCAGGAAAAGCCUCUAAGCAUCAGGUAACAUCAAAUCGUACCCCAAACCGACACAGGUGGUCAGGUAGAGAAUACCAAGGCGCUUGAGAGAACUCGGGUGAAGGAACUAGGCAAAAUGGUGCCGUAACUUCGGGAGAAGGCACGCUGAUAUGUAGGUGAAGUCCCUUGCGGAUGGAGCUGAAAUCAGUCGAAGAUACCAGCUGGCUG
rnacentral:rRNA from 1 species